AUCUGGCUCUUUAAGAGUCUGAGUUGUAAUUUUAAGAACUGUUUUCAGUGCUGGACCAUGUACAAGUCUGUUGAAACACAGCAUCAUUGAGGGUGAUAAUCCCGUUCAUGAUAUGGACUCCCAGUGCAAUAUGAUACAGUCUCCAAGAGUCGAGUUGUUUGGGAAUGCAGCUCAAAAUGGGUGGUAAAUUCCAUCUAAGGCUAAAUAUUGGUGAGAGACCGAUAGCAAACAAGUACCGUGAGGGAAAGAUGAAAAGAACUUUGGAAAGAGAGUUAACAGUACGUGAAAUUGUUAAAAGGGAAACAAUUGAAGUUAGUCUUGUUAUUACUGGUUCAGCUCUUUUAGAGUGUAUUCCAGUGGUUAACAGAUCAACAUCAAUUCUUGGGUGCUAGAUAAGGGUUUUGUGAAAUGUAGCAGCUUCUAGCUGUGUUAUAGUCUGAGACUUUGAUAUAGUGCCUAGGAUUGAGGAAUGCAGUGAGCCUUUUUUUUUAAAAAAGGUGAACCAAUUUUAAUUGGUUUUCUCACUGAGGAUGUUGAUACAAUAGCUUUAAAUGAC
rnacentral:rRNA from 1 species